rnacentral:misc_RNA from 1 species
GGACACUAGUGGAGACUCUGGAGAGGAACUCGAAAUUGGAGGCAAUGCUACUUGCGCUGACCUCAACCAAAAUCCGACCGUUUAUCCCCUACCCAGUUGAAAAUUUCCUCCAUACCUGCCCAACAAACCUCAAAUUCUCCCUUAAUGCUCCUCCAAAUUCUCUCCGAAGCUUUCCAGUAGCAGCCAAGUCUAAACAGACCCACCUUUCCAAUCCCCAUAAUAAGACUCAGGACAAUGGCAUCCCAAUCGAAGACCUCAAAUUCAUUGCCAAAUUCAAGUCCAGAUACAACUACAUUCGCGUUCUCGAAGUCUCUCGUAAAGCCGACCACCCUCUUGCCGGUUCUAGACUCCUCCUUCUAGAUGCCCCGGGAAACAUCCACAGCAUUUCCUUUCGCUUCAAAUUACUCACUGAUACCUAUUUCGACGUUUUCGCCACUUUGCCUCCCAUUUUGCCCCCUGGACCUGUGGCCGUUCUCGGAUUCGGGGCGGGUUCUGCAGCCCGUUUAAUACUAGAGUUGUAUCCAGACGUGGCUGUUCACGGAUGGGAGCUUGACCCAUCUGUGAUUGCAGUGGGCAGAGAGUAUUUUGGCCUUGAAAAGCUCGAAAAGCAGCACCCGGAUAGGCUUUUUAUUUAUAUUGGAAAUGCAUUGACGUUAAAAUCUAAUGUUAAGGACGGGCUUUCGGGCAUUCUCGUUGAUCUGUUUAGCAAGGGUAGUGUGAUCCCCGAGCUUCAAGAUCCAAACACUUGGGAGGAGUUAAUCAGGUGUUUGAGGAAAGGAGGGAGAAUCAUGGUGAACGUUGGUGGUCGUUGUGUGGAGGCGGAGGAUAAGAGAAGGGAUGGCGAUGUGGUUAUGGAGGAUACUUUGAAG